CUGACAUUGUUGCUGGGGCUUUGUUAGUCACAGAACCAUUUGCAGGUGUUAAAGGACCACUAUAGUGCCAGGAAAACAUACACGUUUUCCUGGCACUAUAGUGCCCUGAGGGUGCCCCCUCCCUCAGGGACCCCCUCCUGCCCGGCUCUGGAAAGGGGAAAGGGGUUUAAACUUACCUUUUUCCAGCGCUGGGCAGAGAGCUCUCCUCCUCCG